UACAGAGGUGGCAAGCGUUGUUCGGAAUCACUGGGCGUAAAGGGCUCGUAGGUGGCCAACUAAGUCAGACGUGAAAUCCCCAGGCUCAACUUGGGAACUGCGUCUGAUACUGGAUGGCUUGAAUUCGGGAGAGGGAUGCAGAAUUCCAGGUGUAGCGGUGAAAUGCGUAGAUAUCUGGAGGAAUACCGGUGGCGAAGGCGGCAUCCUGGACCGAGAUUGACACUGAUGAGCGAAAGCUAGGGGAGCAAACGGG
rnacentral:rRNA from 1 species